rnacentral:rRNA from 1 species
UACGUAGGGGCCUAGCGUUGUCCGGAUUUAUUGGGCGUAAAGAGCUCGUAGGCGGUUCGGCAAGUCGGAUGUGAAAUCUCCACGCUCAACGUGGAGGGGCCAUUCGAAACUGCCGUGACUUGAGUCCGGUAGGGGAGUGUGGAAUUCCCGGUGUAGCGGUGAAAUGCGCAGAUAUCGAGAGGAACACCGGUGGCGAAGGCGGCCUUCUGGACAGUGACUGACGCUGAGACGCGAAAGCGUGGGGAGCAAACAGG